rnacentral:rRNA from 1 species
GAUGAACGCUGGCGGCGUGCCUAAUACAUGCAAGUCGAGCGAACAGACGAGGAGCUUGCUCCUCUGACGUUAGCGGCGGACGGGUGAGUAACACGUGGAUAACCUACCUAUAAGACUGGGAUAACUUCGGGAAACCGGAGCUAAUACCGGAUAAUAUAUUGAACCGCAUGGUUCAAUAGUGAAAGACGGUAUUGCUUUCACUUAUAGAUGGAUCCGCGCCGCAUUAGCUAGUUGGUAAGGUAACGGCUUACCAAGGCGACGAUGCGUAGCCGACCUGAGAGGGUGAUCGGCCAGCCUGGAACUGAGACACGGUCCAGACUCCUACGGGAGGCAGCAGUAGGGAAUCUUACGCGAUGGGCGAGAGCCUGACGGAGCAACGCCGCGUGAGUGAUGAAGGUCUUCGGAUCGUAAAACUAUGUUAUUAGGGAAGAACAAAUGUGUAAGUACCUAUGAACGUCUUGACGGUACCUAAUCAGAAAGCCACGGCUAACUACGUG